rnacentral:lncRNA from 1 species
UUUUGCUUGAAUUCUUUAUUUUCUAACCGGCCAUGGCCUAUAUGAAGCCUUGGUCACAACCAUUGCGGGCAUCAUUCCUUCCACCGAUGGGACCAAUCACUGCCGUCCAUCACCUGUCCUUCUCUUUGAUCAUGAGAUAAUAUAAAGGAGAGGAGUCACGAUUCACGGAAGGCAAGAGCCUGACCCACCAUAGCCGAUGCUAUAUAAAGGCGCAAGAUAUUUUAUCGCUGCGUCACCGAGAGGUUAAACCCUAACUCGCCGCCCCCCUCUUCUUCUAAAACCCCUAUCCCUCUUCCCAUCUCCCUCCCUUUCGUUCCCCGAGCGACUUUUCUGAAGGUAAGAUCCUCAGUUCUUGAGGAAAUUCCCGUUCUUUUCUUUCUCUGUAUCUCCGGUAAUCAAAGAUCAAAUCGAUUUCUUUUCUAUCUA